GACAAAACCGUGUGUGAAGUAGAGAGGGCACACGCAUUUGCUAGCUCUUAAUUGCUAUGAUUCCAAACAAGCUACAUGGAUCAGAAAUCGUAAUGUUAAGAGAUCUUCUAUGAUUCUGGGUGAACUCGUCCCAUUUCUUGCAUGCAGCCAGUUCAAUGAUUCACAACCACCUUGUGAUCUGCGGCAUGGUUAACAGGCACAGAUUCUGUUGUUUAAAAUUAAAUCUCAAGAAUAGGUUCAUUCUGAUUUGCUAUAGCAGUUUGUAACAGUCUGAUAGGCUGCCCGCCCUAAAAGAUUGUCUACAUUUGUGUGUAGGAAUUGUAACAUAAAUUAUAGCUCAGUUGUUGUCGCCAUUCAUUGUCUGGUUUAAUGCACAAUUUCAACUUUGUAGUUGUGUGCCUUGGAACUCUAUGAAGAUGGACCUCAUUGAUUUAAAAAUCCUGCAGCAAAGAAUCACAGAAUAGAUUCUCCCGCAUUUUAUGUGGUCUAUUGUUAUGAUCAGUAAGAGAUUAGCAAUUUCUUAA